AGAGUUUGAUCCUGGCUCAGAUUGAACGCUGGCGGCAUGCCUUACACAUGCAAGUCGAACGGCAGCACGGGACCUUGCUCCUGGUGGCGAGUGGCGAACGGGUGAGUAAUACAUCGGAACGUACCCUGAAGUGGGGGAUAACGUAGCGAAAGUUACGCUAAUACCGCAUAUUCUGUGAGCAGGAAAGAGGGGGAUCGCAAGACCUCUUGCUUUAGGAGCGGCCGAUGUCGGAUUAGCUAGUUGGUGAGGUAAAGGCUCACCAAGGCGACGAUCCGUAGCGGGUCUGAGAGGAUGAUCCGCCACACUGGGACUGAGACACGGCCCAGACUCCUACGGGAGGCAGCAGUGGGGAAUUUUGGACAAUGGGCGCAAGCCUGAUCCAGCCAUGCCGCGUGAGUGAAGAAGGCCUUCGGGUUGUAAAGCUCUUUCGGUGGGGAAGAAAUUGCUUCGGUUAAUACCUGGAGUAGAUGACGGUACCCGCAUAAGAAGCACCGGCUAACUACGUG
rnacentral:rRNA from 1 species